rnacentral:rRNA from 1 species
CAGUCGCCGCGGUAAUACGAAGGUCCCGAGCGUUGUCCGGAUUUAUUGGGCGUAAAGGGAGCGCAGGCGGUUUAGUAAGUCUGAAGUUAAAGGCAUUGGCUCAACCAAUGUAUGCUUUGGAAACUGUUAGACUUGAGUGCAGAAGGGGAGAGUGGAAUUCCAUGUGUAGCGGUGAAAUGCGUAGAUAUAUGGAGGAACACCGGUGGCGAAAGCGGCUCUCUGGUCUGUCACUGACGCUGAGGCUCGAAAGCGUGGGUAGCGAACAGGAUUAGAUACCCCAGUAGUCCCUGUCUCUUAUACA